rnacentral:lncRNA from 1 species
AUUGUGUGUCUGCCCACUGUGGUGGAAACCUGUGAGGACAGGUUUUUUUGUCUGUGUUUACUGCUGUUCCUCCAACAGCUGCUGGUGCACAGCAGACUCCCACAACAGGUCAUGAUGGACAGAUGGAUGCAUGGAUAGGUGGAAGGAUGGAGGAAUGGACGGAUGGCCAGACAGAAUGGAGUUCACAGCGCCAAAGCCGGGAGGCACCGGACUCUCAAGUAGCCAAGCGGGAGGUUUGGCCACAGCGUUUGUCAUCUGUGCAUCCGACGCAACAGUCUUCUCCCAGAGCAUUUAUUUAGCACCUACAGAGUACCCAGGCCUUGUGCUGUCUGUCUGGGGAAUGAGGUUCGGGCUACAGGGAGACCUGAGCCUACUGAGAUUGUACGUUCAGCUUUUAAAAUCAAGGCUGCAUCUGGUUUAUCACUGAGUUCCCGCCCAUUAUACUAAACAUUUAUUAAGCUCCAGAAUUUCAGUGAUGCACUUAAGGUAAUGGUGCAGAAGGAACCACCACAGCUGGGAGAAAUUACUUAGAAAUAAUGUCCAUCACCACAAGGCAGGCAGAGACAUGCUAGUGAUCUGAGAACAGCCCUGUAACAAGUGACAGAGUACUGACGAGAGAGGGAGAGAGGGGGAGAGGGGGAGAGGGGGAGAGGGGGAGAGGGAGAGAGGGGGAGAGGGGGAGAGGCAGAGAGGGGGAGAGGGGGAGAGGGGGAGAGGGAGAGAGGGGGAGAGGGGGAGAGGGGGACAGAGAGCGCAGGUGCCCUUUCUCAGGGGCUCUUGUGACUGACGAUGGUCACCAGCUUCCUCCAAGACAGCCGGAGCUCAGGGCAACGUUGGGACUCUUCUAAUCACAAGUGAAUAUGAACAUUCCACUGAAACAAGGAGAGAAAUGAAAGACAUGAAAUAGAUGUGUAUGCACACAUAAACACACGCCUACACGCUGACAUGCAUGGGAGUCAUUCAGAAAGCUCAUGGAAAAUGGAAUUAAAAAGUCUAUUUUGAUGCAAAAAUUUUUAAAGUCCUUUUACAGUUCAUUCACAACACAGGUUGAGUUUUCAUCAACUUUUAAAAAUAUUCCUUUUAAAAAUUUCAAAAUUUUGAGCCCUACCGUAAACUCAUUUCUUAAAAUUCCACUUUUUGCAGACUUCUGGAAGUAGCCAGAUAGACUCAGAAGAAAGACCACAAAGACCACGGCAGCCCAUGGUGUGUAGCUGGGGUGUCCUUUGAGUGCAGGGACCCCCAAGACCGCCUCCAGCCUAGGAAGCUGCGUAUUUUGCGAGGGCGUCACGAGCAGCUCCAUCUGGGUCAAAACUCGGACCUGAAUGCCGAUAACGCUCAGUUAGCCUGAGGUCUCGCUGGCACUUCUCUGGGCAGAAGCUCAGCGGAAGGGAUCCCUCGGCUCUUGGAAGCUCCAAGUGUGUGAGCAC